rnacentral:rRNA from 1 species
UACAGAGGUCUCAAGCGUUGUUCGGAUUCAUUGGGCGUAAAGGGCGCGUAGGCUGCGGGGCAAGUCGGGUGUGAAAUCUCAGAGCUCAACUCUGAAACUGCACUCGAUACUGCUUUGCUUGAGGACUGGAGAGGAGAUUGGAAUUCACGGUGUAGCAGUGAAAUGCGUAGAUAUCGUGAGGAAGACCAGUGGCGAAGGCGGAUCUCUGGACAGUUCCUGACACUGAGGCACGAAGGCCAGGGGAGCAAACGGG